AUUGAACGCUGGCGGCAGGCCUAACACAUGCAAGUCGAACGAGUGGCGGACGGGUGAGUAAUGUCUGGGAAACUGCCUGAUUGAGGGGGAUAACUACUGGAAACGGUAGCUAAUACCGCAUACCAUCGGAUGUGUCCAGAGGGGAUUAGCUAGUAGGUGGGGUAACGGCUCACCUAGGCGACGAUCCCUAGCUGGUCUGAGAGGAUGACCAGCGAGAGUGGAACUGAGACAAGGUCCAGACGCCGACGGGAGGCAGCAGUGGGGAAUAGUGCACAAUGGGCGCAAGCCUGAUGCAGCCAUGCCGCGGGUAUGAAGAAGGCCUUCGGGUUGUAAAGUACUGUCAGCGGGGAGGCGUUACCCGCAGAAGAAGCACCGGCUAACUCCGUGCCAGCAGCCGCGGUAAUUC
rnacentral:rRNA from 1 species